ensembl:snRNA U5 U5 spliceosomal RNA
AUACUCUGGUUUCUCUUUGAAUCGUAUAAAUCUUUUGCCUUUGACUAAAGAUUUCUGGGGAGAGGAACAACUCUGAGUCUUAAAGCAAUGUUCUGAGGCCUUGUUCUGACAAGGCU